CGCGACGUACCCAAGUGGUCUAAGGGAACGGUCUCAUAACCCGUUAAUCGCAGGUUCGAAUCCUGCCGCCGCGU
rnacentral:tRNA from 1 species